GCAGUCGAGGGGUAUAGUUCUUCGGAGCUAGAGACCGGCGCACGGGUGCGUAACGCGUAUGCAAUCUACCUUUUACAGAGGGAUAGCCCAGAGAAAUUUGGAUUAAUACCUCAUAGUAUGUGAGAAUCGCAUGGUUUUCACAUUAAAGUCACAACGGUAAAAGAUGAGCAUGCGUCCCAUUAGCUAGAUGGUAAGGUAACGGCUUACCAUGGCAACGAUGGGUAGGGGUCCUGAGAGGGAGAUCCCCCACACUGGUACUGAGACACGGACCAGACUCCUACGGGAGGCAGCAGUGAGGAAUAUUGGACAAUGGGCGCAAGCCUGAUCCAGCCAUGCCGCGUGCAGGAUGACGGUCCUAUGGAUUGUAAACUGCUUUUGUACAGGAAGAAACACUCCCUCGUGAGGGAGCUUGACGGUACUGUAAGAAUAAGGAUCGGCUAACUCCGUGCCAGCAGCCGCGGUAAUACGGAGGAUCCAAGCGUUAUCCGGAAUCAUUGGGUUUAAAGGGUCCGUAGGCGGUUUAAUAAGUCAGUGGUGAAAGCCCAUCGCUCAACGGUGGAACGGCCAUUGAUACUGUUAAACUUGAAUUAUUAGGAAGUAACUAGAAUAUGUAGUGUAGCGGUGAAAUGCUUAGAGAUUACAUGGAAUACCAAUUGCGAAGGCAGGUUACUACUAAUGGAUUGACGCUGAUGGACGAAAGCGUGGGUAGCGAACAGGAUUAGAUACCCUGGUAGUCCACGCCGUAAACGAUGGAUACUAGCUGUUGGGAGCAAUCUCAGUGGCUAAGCGAAAGUGAUAAGUAUCCCACCUGGGGAGUACGUUCGCAAGAAUGAAACUCAAAGGAAUUGACGGGGGCCCGCACAAGCGGUGGAGCAU
rnacentral:rRNA from 1 species